rnacentral:rRNA from 1 species
UACGUAGGUGGCAAGCGUUGUCCGGAAUUAUUGGGCGUAAAGGGUGCGUAGGCGGCGCGGUAAGUCGGGUGUGAAAUCUUGGAGCUUAACUCCGAAACUGCAUUCGAUACUGCCGUGCUUGAGGACUGGAGAGGAGACUGGAAUUUACGGUGUAGCGGUGAAAUGCGUAGAUAUCGUAAGGAAGACCAGUGGCGAAGGCGGGUCUCUGGACAGUUCCUGACGCUGAGGCACGAAGGCCAGGGGAGCAAACGGG